rnacentral:tRNA from 1 species
AGUAGCGUGGCUCAGUGGAAAGAGCAUGGGCUUUGGAGUCAGAGGUCAUGGGUUCUAAUCCCAGCUCUGCCA